rnacentral:snRNA from 1 species
GCUUCACGCUUCGUUGGAACAAAUGGUAAAAUUGAAAUGAGAGGAGAGAAGAUUAGCAUGGCCUCCACGCAAGAAUGACACGCCAAAUCGUGAAGGGUUCCACAUUUUU